AGAGUUUGAUCCUGGCUCAGAAUGAACGCUGGCGGCGUGCUUAACACAUGCAAGUCGAACGAUGAAGUUUAGUUUACUAAAUGGAUUAGUGGCGCACGGGUGAGUAAUAUAUAGAUAACGUGCCUCUUAGUCUGGGAUAGCCAUUGGAAACGAUGAUUAAUACUAGAUACUCCUUCUAACUCUAAUGUUAGUUGGGAAAGUUUUUCGCUAAGAGAUCGGUCUAUAUCCCAUCAGCUAGUUGGUAGUGUAAGAGACUACCAAGGCUAUGACGGGUAGCGGGUUUGAGAGGAUGAUCCGCCACACUGGUACUGAGACACGGACCAGACUCCUACGGGAGGCAGCAGUGAGGAAUAUUGCACAAUGGAGGAAACUCUGAUGCAGCAACGCCGCGUGGAGGAUGACGCAUUUCGGUGUGUAAACUCCUUUUAUAUGUCAAGAAAAUGACGGUAGCAUAUGAAUAAGCACCGGCUAACUCCGUGCCAGCAGCCGCGGUAAUACGGAGGGUGCAAGCGUUAUUCGGAAUCACUGGGCGUAAAGGACGCGUAGGCGGGAAGCCAAGUCUGAUGUGAAAUCCUAUGGCUCAACCAUAGAACUGCAUUGGAAACUGGUUACCUAGAGUAUGGGAGGGGGAGAUGGAAUUAGUGGUGUAGGGGUAAAAUCCGUAGAUAUCACUAGGAAUACCGAAAGCGAAGGCGAUCUCCUGGAACAAUACUGACGCUAAGGCGUGAAAGCGUGGGGAGCAAACGGGAUUAGAUACCCCGGUAGUCCACGCCCUAAACGAUGAACACUAGUCGUCGGAAUGCUAGUCAUU
rnacentral:rRNA from 1 species